rnacentral:rRNA from 1 species
CUGCUGUCAAAUCCAUUCUGUUUCUACUCACAGGCUAGAUGCGGGAGCGGUCCAACGUAGGUAACCACUCCUCUCCGGCUAGGUGCAUACACGACAGCGACGUCCUAUCGCUUACAGUCGCUCUUUCCGGCAGUAACCUCAUGCGUCGGCAGAGGGAGAGGCGAAGAGGACCACCGUGGAGGGAUGGCCUCAGGUAAGAAGAACCGAAAGUUGUGACGGACAAGAACGAUCCUUGAUAACAAUAUAAUGCGAGACGUCAACAAGACGUCUACCCUCCUUUGUUCCUCCUAUUCCGUCAAAAAUACGUUUACAACUACAAAAACCGACCUUAGUUGUGGGAAGUUUUCUCAAAGAAACCAAUGGACUAACGGACGCCACUAACCACCUAGUAUGUGGAAACAAGAUGGAUGGUAAAGCUAGUAUGAACGCCCUGCGAUACGUCUGCUUGGUCUAGGUGUGUAUAAUAUACAACUUUUCUUCCCUUAAGGGGUUUUAGAACGUACCUCGUUUUCCACGAAACUAGCAACGAAGACAUGAACCACUAGAAGACAUGAUAAAUUAUCAACGAAGUACAAAGAUAUCCUAUGGGGGUAUACGAUGUACUGUUGGUAUCACUCGUACAGUUUUCAAAUCGUACGAAUAAUAUUAAGAGAAGAAACAUUUAAUAAUAUGCUUCAAACGCAAAACGAACCAAUUGAGGAGACACAAGAUAUCUGAUAGCACCAUUUCUCCAAAAAUAGUCCAAUAAGUAAGGGUAUGUAACUUGGAUACCAAGAUUGAAAAAGGGUACUAUUUCUUUUACCCCAAAUGGCGAAAAUUAGUUAUAGAUUAAUUUGGUUGUUUUGUUGAUGUCAAGGCGGUUGUAUGGUAAAAAACGACCACCUGUAUGGUUUAAUGAGUAUACAUAGUAUAAUACGACGAAGGGUAUAACAAAAGAGGGUCCUUACUGUUCCGUAAGUCCAAGAGAAAAAUCGAAAGGAUGUGUCCUUGCAUAACGUUUUAAUUCUAUGUAUUGUAACAAGGUGGAUGUCCAGACAGAAUAUAGAUGUCCAUAUAGGUACGUAAGAAACAAGAAAAAGAAGUCACUAGAUGACUAGAAGCACUAAAACAAAUCACGAUCUCAAUCGUUUUAAACAGUACCUCGUCUAACACGAACUGAAGUGCACACAUACUACAUUAUACUUAAUUACCAUAGAAACACCAACUGAGCCAAUACACGGAAAACAGACUUAGUUAACUCUUUUUAGACUUAUAUAUGGACUUACACCACCAAAGUGUGUAAGACUUACUUCGAUGGUUACUCAUGGAACCAAGACUUUAGUACUCGAAAAAUGAAGAUACUUUUCACUAUUUCAAUGUUGUAUCAAACGAGUUUCCGCACGUAUUGACGUCUAACUCGUUCCGUGUUAGACUUUUAUUUUAUUUUAUUUUAAUCUUUGUCACACACGUAGUACACAUACAAACGAGUACUCUACACAUAUACAACCGACUCGCUGCGACAACCGUCACGGCCAACACCGCGGAGCGGAGCCCUCGGGAAACUGCACCACGCGUGGACGCAGGGGCGGAACCGGCGGAGCGCAACCUGCCCUCCCCUAUUCAGUUAGGGAUUAAUUCUAUAGGUUACUUUGACCGUUGUAGUAAUGCCUUACCUUUACUAACCUACUGUUUAACAUA